AACUCACUUGGGUUAGGAAACUAUGAGGUAAUGUUUAAUGAGAAACAUUAAACGACCCCAACUUGUUUGGGACUGAGGCUUUGUUUGUUAUUGGUCGUGUUGAUUGAUAACGAGAAUCGCGAUGCGUAUAAUUUGUAAAUAGUAAUUACUUGUUGAAGGCUUUUGUUUUCCGGUAUUGUGGAGGUUGUAUCUUUCAUAAUUGAGCACGAAAAUAAUCUUUAGUUGCUGAUUAAGGAUUUCUACUGUUACAAACGAGUUGUAUUAACUGUAUAUAUUUGUGGAAAGCUUGGGUCUCUAGUGACUGAUUAUUUGGGGAUUUUCAAGAUAAAAUGGAGGCUGUGGUGGUUGCUGCUAUUUUGAGCUCAUCAGAUGGUUCGCAAGAAGUCCUAGAACUCGAUGUAAAUCGCCCAUACUUGGAUGUUGUGGGUGGAGAGAAAAAACGACGUGUGUAUGGAUUGGGAUCUCAAGGUUUGACUAUGUACGAAGACCAAAAUUCUGCCACUUCACGCAAUUUAUCUGCGGUGACUGAUCGUAUUGCUCAAGAGCGCAUCAAACUGCUUGAGGAAGAGAUGUUGCGUAUGAGAGAAAAUCAAGAGAGGAUUCUUCAAGAGCGUGUAGAGGCGGAGGUGCAACAACGCGUAGCGCGGGAGGUCUCGCUUUUGAGGCAACAAAGUGAUGAUCGGUUUAAGUUAUGGAGGAGCGAUGGACCCGUAUGAUGAGCGAGAUGGCGUUAUCUUCUUGCUCAUGAUCUGGUGAUCCUACUCUCCCUAAUAUGGACUCACCAAAUGCUCAAGCGUUUAACAUUUUCAUACUUUAAUUACUUGGAUUCUUUAAGUGUUGUUUUUAAUGUUGUUAGACUUACCAAAUGCUUAAUGUUGUUUUUAGUGUUGUUAAGACUUUCCGUGAUUGGAUGCUUCGUAAGUUUUUAAAUAUUUGUAGACUUUUGCUUAUUGAAGUUGGGUUUUAGCAUAUUUUAUCUUCA